GAUGAACGCUAGCGGCAGGCUUAAUACAUGCAAGUCGAGGGGCAGCAGGACUGUAGCAAUACAGUUGCUGGCGACCGGCAAACGGGUGCGGAACACGUACGCAAUCUACCCGAAACUGGGGCACAGCCCGGGGAAACCCGGAUUAAUACCCCGUAACACUUUGAAGUGGCAUCACUUUCUAGUUAUAGCUCCGGCGGGUUUUGAUGCGCGUGCGGCGGAUUAGGUAGUUGGCGGGGUAAUGGCCCACCAAGCCUACGAUCGGUAACUGGUGUGAGAGCACGACCAGUCACACGGGCACUGAGACACGGGCCCGACUCCUACGGGAGGCAGCAGUAAGGAAUAUUGGUCAAUGGACGCAAGUCUGAACCAGCCAUGCCGCGUGGAGGAUGAAGGCCCUCUGGGUUGUAAACCUCUUUUAUAGGGGACGAAACCUCUUUUUCUUGAGAGACUGACGGUACCCUAGGAAUAAGCACCGGCUAACUCCGUGCCAGCCGCCGCCGUAAUAC
rnacentral:rRNA from 1 species